AAUAUUGGGCAAUGGGCGAAAGCCUGACCCAGCAACGCCGCGUGAGGGAAGAAGGUUUUCGGAUUGUAAACCUCUGUCCUUGGUGACGAAAAAAAUGACGGUAGCCAAGGAGGAAGCCCCGGCCAACUAUGUGUCAGCAGCCGCGGUAAUACGUAGGGGGCAAGCGUUGUCCGGAAUGACUGGGCGUAAAGGGCGUGUAGGCGGCCGAUUAAGUCUGGAGUGAAAGUCCUGCUUUCAAGGUGGGAAUUGCUUCGGAUACUGGUUGGCUUGAGUGCGGAAGAGGUAAGUGGAAUUCCCAGUGUAGCGGUGAAAUGCGUAGAUAUCGGGAGGAACACCAGUGGCGAAGGCGACUACCUGGACGACAACUGACGCUGAGGCACGAAAGCUAGGGGAGCAAAC
rnacentral:rRNA from 1 species